rnacentral:tRNA from 1 species
GAUAAAGUGCCUGAUUAAAGGAUUACAUUGAUAGUGUAACUAAUGCAUUUUUAUGCCUUUAUUA